UACGUAGGGUGCGAGCGUUGUCCGGAAUUAUUGGGCGUAAAGAGCUCGUAGGCGGUGUGUCACGUCGGCCGUGAAAACCUGGGGCUUAACUCUGGGCGUGCGGUCGAUACGGGCAUCACUAGAGUUCGGCAGGGGAGACUGGAAUUCCUGGUGUAGCGGUGAAAUGCGCAGAUACCAGGAGGAACACCGGUGGCGAAGGCGGGUCUCUGGGCCGAUACUGACGCUGAGGAGCGAAAGCAUGGGUAGCGAACAGG
rnacentral:rRNA from 1 species